rnacentral:rRNA from 1 species
CAGCAGCCGCGGUAAUACAGAGGGUGCGAGCGUUAAUCGGAUUUACUGGGCGUAAAGCGUGCGUAGGCGGCUUCUUAAGUCGGAUGUGAAAUCCCUGUGCUUAACUUAGGAAUUGCAUUCGAUACUGGGAAGCUAGAGUAUGGGAGAGGAUGGUAGAAUUCCAGGUGUAGCGGUGAAAUGCGUAGAGAUCUGGAGGAAUACCGAUGGCGAAGGCAGCCAUCUGGCCUAAUACUGACGCUGAGGUACGAAAGCAUGGGGAGCAAACAGGAUUAGAUACCCGUGUAGUCCCUGUCUCUUAUAC